ensembl:lncRNA
CAGCUGCCUGCGUGCUGCACCUCUGGGAAGGCUGGCCCUACUGUAGCCCCCCGCCCGCCCCCACCCAUCUGCCCUCCAGUCAAACAGUGCCUUGGUGGGGGGGAGGGGCUAUGCACACCCUCGCACAGACUCGGUGGACAAGAGGACCGCUGGUGGUUCCAGGAGACCUUGUUCUGAUCCCCAGCCCAACAAGGACACCCAGAAGGACAUGCAUGGUGCCUGGGGGUCCGUCUCAGCCUUGUAAUAUCCCGUGAACGAAG